GGAUGAAGGGAGCUUGCUCUCGGAUUCAGCGGCGGACGGGUGAGUAAUGCCUAGGAAUCUGCCUGGUAGUGGGGGACAACGUUCCGAAAGGAGCGCUAAUACCGCAUACGUCCUACGGGAGAAAGUGGGGGAUCUUCGGACCUCACGCUAUCAGAUGAGCCUAGGUCGGAUUAGCUAGUAGGUGGGGUAAUGGCUCACCUAGGCGACGAUCCGUAACUGGUCUGAGAGGAUGAUCAGUCACACUGGAACUGAGACACGGUCCAGACUCCUACGGGAGGCAGCAGUGGGGAAUAUUGGACAAUGGGCGAAAGCCUGAUCCAGCCAUGCCGCGUGUGUGAAGAAGGUCUUCGGAUUGUAAAGCACUUUAAGUUGGGAGGAAGGGCAGUAAGUUAAUACCUUGCUGUUUUGACGUUACCAACAGAAUAAGCACCGGCUAACUUCGUGCCAGCAGCCGCGGUAAUACGAAGGGUGCAAGCGUUAAUCGGAAUUACUGGGCGUAAAGCGCGCGUA
rnacentral:rRNA from 1 species